rnacentral:snRNA from 1 species
AUACUUACCUGGACGGGGUCUAUGGAUGAUCAUGAAGGUCCAUGGCCUAGGCUAGUGGCCUCCAUUGCACUUGGGAGGAGCACUGGCUUACCAUCUCCCUAAGUGGGAGAGUGGAUGGACGUCAUAAUUUGUGGCAGAGGGGGUACGCGUUCGCGCGGCCCCUAC